rnacentral:lncRNA from 1 species
CCCGUAUCCUAAAUAAAAUAACAACUAUAAAAUAGUGAACUCAAACAAAAACUAUUUGGCGAAAGUAAAAUACAUUUGAUAUAAAAUGAAAGGUUGAAAUAAAAAAAAAAUAUUGAAAGUUGGUCCCAAUUUAUUAGCCUAUCUUAACAUAAACCUAGUAAAAUUUCCAUGAUUGAAUGAUUAACUGAAACAUAACCCAGCACCAAUUCAAGUAUGACACAGGAGAUGACCCUCUUUUUUUCAUGCAACACUAUACAUUAUUAUUUAUUCAGUACACAUUUUAUUAUUUAAUGAUCAUCAUUAAUUAUCCAGGAACUCAUUAAUCAGUUUAUAUAACUGCUAUUGCUUUUAAAAUCAUAUGGAACUACAAAUUUUAAACCAAAUAUUAUGUUUUAUAUACUUGAACAUAUAAAACAAUUUGG